UACGAAGGGGGCUAGCGUUGUUCGGAAUCACUGGGCGUAAAGGGCGCGUAGGCGGCUUUGUAAGUCGGGGGUGAAAGCCUGUGGCUCAACCACAGAAUUGCCUUCGAUACUGCAUGGCUUGAGACCGGAAGAGGUAAGUGGAACUGCGAGUGUAGAGGUGAAAUUCGUAGAUAUUCGCAAGAACACCUGUGGCGAAGGCGGCCCCCUGGUUGGAUACUGACGCUGAUACGCGAAAGCGUGGGGAGCAAACAGG
rnacentral:rRNA from 1 species